rnacentral:rRNA from 1 species
AAAACUUUCAACAACGGAUCUCUUGGUUCUGGCAUCGAUGAAGAACGCAGCGAAAUGCGAAAAGUAAUGUGAAUUGCAGAAUUCCGUGAAUCAUCGAAUCUUUGAACGCACAUUGCGCCCUUUGGUAUUCCGAAGGGCAUGCCUGUUCGAGCGUCAUU